UACGGGGGGGGCAAGCGUUGUUCGGAAUUACUGGGCGUAAAGGGCUCGUAGGCGGCCAACUAAGUCAGACGUGAAAUCCCCAGGCUCAACCUGGGAACUGCGUCUGAUACUGGAUGGCUUGAAUCCGGGAGAGGGAUGCAGAAUUCCAGGUGUAGCGGUGAAAUGCGUAGAUAUCUGGAGGAACACCGGUGGCGAAGGCGGCAUCCUGGACCGGUAUUGACGCUGAGGCGCGAAAGCUAGGGGAGCAAACGGGG
rnacentral:rRNA from 1 species